UACAAAGGGGGCUAGCGUUGUUCGGAAUUACUGGGCGUAAAGCGCAUGUAGGCGGAUAUUUAAGUCAGGGGUGAAAUCCCGCAGCUCAACUGCGGAACUGCCUUUGAUACUGGGUAUCUUGAGUAUGGAAGAGGUGAGUGGAAUUCCGAGUGUAGAGGUGAAAUUCGUAGAUAUUCGGAGGAACACCAGUGGCGAAGGCGGCUCACUGGUCCAUUACUGACGCUGAGGUGCGAAAGCGUGGGGAGCAAACAGG
rnacentral:rRNA from 1 species